GGGCAUACACUUACCUCUUCGAAAAAAUUUAGGCUUCUUAAACUUAUUUGGGAAGAAAAUAAGGGGACAUAAGUUGCUCUAAUUUGCCAUCACUGAGUUCACUUUAUAAAUUUAUCAAGAAAAUACAAAAUUUUUUCCAAGAACAAAGAAACAUAGCCAACAUUUGAAUCAUUUCCACUAUCCAGAUCCUACCAUUAGUUCAACCAUUUCAUGGUAACAUCCUCAACAGUCAACCAUGCUCCUUGUCUAACUUUAGAUAUUCAUGAAACUCAAAAUCAGAGGGACAUGCGUUAUUACAUGAUCCUCCACCACUUUGAAAAACAUGUCUAAAACCCUUCAAACACUAUGAAUGCCUUUAAACAUGUCCAAUAUGCUGAAAACAUUGCUCAAUUCCAAUAUUCUAACAUUCUUGUACACACACACACACACCCACACAUUUCAUUCAGAACUCACAAAUUCCAACUGCUGUUCAUUUGAAAUGUCAAGUUUCCCAUGUCUACUGCUUCCCAUAAUCCACUUUUUUUUUCCCUAGAAUUGCCUUGAUCUCUCUUCAGCAUACUUCUUUUCAUGUCCACUUAUGCUUUACACUUUUCCUCCCAUCCAAGAACCCUUGCAUAUU
rnacentral:misc_RNA from 1 species